rnacentral:hammerhead_ribozyme from 1 species
AUCCAGCUGACGAGUCUCAAUUAAGACGAAACGCCAGUUCUGGAU